GGCAGCACGAUGUAGCAAUACAUUGGUGGCGACCGGCGCACGGGUGCGUAACACGUAUGGAAUCUGCCUUGUACUGGGAGAUAGCCCGGAGAAAUCCGGAUUAAUAUCCCAUAAUAAGUUGAGUGGCAUCACUUGGCUUUGAAAGCUCCGGCGGUACAAGAUGACCAUGCGCACGAUUAGCUAGUUGGUGAGGUAACGGCUCACCAAGGCUACGAUCGUUAGGGGGCCUGAGAGGGUUAUCCCCCACACUGGUACUGAGACACGGACCAGACUCCUACGGGAGGCAGCAGUGAGGAAUAUUGCGCAAUGGAGGCAACUCUGACGCAGCCAUGCCGCGUGCAGGAAGAAGGCGCUACGCGUUGUAAACUGCUUUUAACCGGGAAGAAACCCCAGGACGUGUCCUGGGUUGACGGUACCGGAGGAAUAAGCACCGGCUAACUUCGUGCCAGCAGCCGCGGUAAUACGAAGGGUGCAAGCGUUAUCCGGAUUCAUUGGGUUUAAAGGGUGCGUAGGUGGGGCGAUAAGUCAGUGGUGAAAUCUUGCGGCUUAACCGUAAAAUUGCCAUUGAUACUGUCGCUCUUGAGUACGCUUGACGU
rnacentral:rRNA from 1 species